GGUUAAGCGACUAAGCGUACACGGUGGAUGCCCUGGCAGUCAGAGGCGAUGAAGGACGUGCUAAUCUGCGAAAAGCGUCGGUAAGGUGAUAUGAACCGUUAUAACCGGCGAUGUCCGAAUGGGGAAACCCAGUGCAAUUCGUUGCACUAUCGUUAACUGAAUACAUAGGUUAACGAGGCGAACCGGGGGAACUGAAACAUCUAAGUACCCCGAGGAAAAGAAAUCAACCGAGAUUCCCCCAGUAGCGGCGAGCGAACGGGGAGCAGCCCAGAGUCUGAAUCAGCUUGUGUGUUAGUGGAACGGUCUGGAAAGUCCGACGGUACAGGGUGAUAGUCCCGUACACCAAAAUGCACAGGUUGUGAACUCGAAGAGUAGGGCGGGACACGUGGUAUCCUGUCUGAAUAUGGGGGGACCAUCCUCCAAGGCUAAAUACUCCUGACUGACCGAUAGUGAACCAGUACCGUGAGGGAAAGGCGAAAAGAACCCCGGCGAGGGGAGUGAAAAAGAACCUGAAACCGUGUACGUACAAGCAGUGGGAGCACCUUCGGGUGUGACUGCGUACCUUUUGUAUAAUGGGUCAGCGACUUAUAUUCUGUAGCAAGGUUAACCGUAUAGGGGAGCCGCAGGGAAACCGAGUCUUAACUGGGCGUUAAGUUGCAGGGUAUAGACCCGAAACCCGGUGAUCUAGCCAUGGGCAGGUUGAAGGUUGGGUAACACUAACUGGAGGACCGAACCGACUAAUGUUGAAAAAUUAGCGGAUGACUUGUGGCUGGGGGUGAAAGGCCAAUCAAACCGGGAGAUAGCUGGUUCUCCCCGAAAGCUAUUUAGGUAGCGCCUCGUGAACUCAUCUUCGGGGGUAGAGCACUGUUUCGGCUAGGGGGUCAUCCCGACUUACCAACCCGAUGCAAACUACGAAUACCGAAGAAUGUUAUCACGGGAGACACACGGCGGGUGCUAACGUCCGUCGUGAAGAGGGAAACAACCCAGACCGCCAGCUAAGGUCCCAAAGUCAUGGUUAAGUGGGAAACGAUGUGGGAAGGCACAGACAGCCAGGAUGUUGGCUUAGAAGCAGCCAUCAUUUAAAGAAAGCGUAAUAGCUCACUGGUCGAGUCGGCCUGCGCGGAAGAUGUAACGGGGCUAAACCAUGCACCGAAGCUGCGGCAGCGACACUAUGUGUUGUUGGGUAGGGGAGCGUUCUGUAAGCCUGCGAAGGUGUGCUGUGAGGCAUGCUGGAGGUAUCAGAAGUGCGAAUGCUGACAUAAGUAACGAUAAAGCGGGUGAAAAGCCCGCUCGCCGGAAGACCAAGGGUUCCUGUCCAACGUUAAUCGGGGCAGGGUGAGUCGACCCCUAAGGCGAGGCCGAAAGGCGUAGUCGAUGGGAAACAGGUUAAUAUUCCUGUACUUGGUGUUACUGCGAAGGGGGGACGGAGAAGGCUAUGUUAGCCGGGCGACGGUUGUCCCGGUUUAAGCAUGUAGGCUGGUUAUCCAGGCAAAUCCGGAUAAUCAAGGCUGAGGUGUGAUGACGAGGCACUACGGUGCUGAAGUAACAAAUGCCCUGCUUCCAGGAAAAGCCUCUAAGCAUCAGGUAACAUCAAAUCGUACCCCAAACCGACACAGGUGGUCAGGUAGAGAAUACCAAGGCGCUUGAGAGAACUCGGGUGAAGGAACUAGGCAAAAUGGUGCCGUAACUUCGGGAGAAGGCACGCUGGUGUGUAGGUGAAGCCCCUGCGGGUGGAGCUGAGACCAGUCGAAGAUACCAGCUGGCUGCAACUGUUUAUUAAAAACACAGCACUGUGCAAACACGAAAGUGGACGUAUACGGUGUGACGCCUGCCCGGUGCCGGAAGGUUAAUUGAUGGGGUUAUCCGUAAGGAGAAGCUCUUGAUCGAAGCCCCGGUAAACGGCGGCCGUAACUAUAACGGUCCUAAGGUAGCGAAAUUCCUUGUCGGGUAAGUUCCGACCUGCACGAAUGGCGUAAUGAUGGCCAGGCUGUCUCCACCCGAGACUCAGUGAAAUUGAACUCGCUGUGAAGAUGCAGUGUACCCGCGGCAAGACGGAAAGACCCCGUGAACCUUUACUAUAGCUUGACACUGAACAUUGAGCCUUGAUGUGUAGGAUAGGUGGGAGGCUUUGAAGCGUGGACGCCAGUCUGCGUGGAGCCAACCUUGAAAUACCACCCUUUAAUGUUUGAUGUUCUAACGUUGGCCCCUUAUCGGGGUUGCGGACAGUGUCUGGUGGGUAGUUUGACUGGGGCGGUCUCCUCCCAAAGCGUAACGGAGGAGCACGAAGGUUAGCUAAUCCUGGUCGGACAUCAGGAGGUUAGUGCAAUGGCAUAAGCUAGCUUGACUGCGAGCGUGACGGCGCGAGCAGGUGCGAAAGCAGGUCAUAGUGAUCCGGUGGUUCUGAAUGGAAGGGCCAUCGCUCAACGGAUAAAAGGUACUCCGGGGAUAACAGGCUGAUACCGCCCAAGAGUUCAUAUCGACGGCGGUGUUUGGCACCUCGAUGUCGGCUCAUCACAUCCUGGGGCUGAAGUAGGUCCCAAGGGUAUGGCUGUUCGCCAUUUAAAGUGGUACGCGAGCUGGGUUUAGAACGUCGUGAGACAGUUCGGUCCCUAUCUGCCGUGGGCGCUGGAGAAUUGAGGGGGGCUGCUCCUAGUACGAGAGGACCGGAGUGGACGCAUCACUGGUGUUCGGGUUGUCAUGCCAAUGGCACUGCCCGGUAGCUAAAUGCGGAAGAGAUAAGUGCUGAAAGCAUCUAAGCACGAAACUUGCCCCGAGAUGAGUUCUCCCUGAGACUUUAAGUCUCCUGAAGGAACGUUGAAGACGACGACGUUGAUAGGCCGGGUGUGUAAGCGCAGCGAUGCGUUGAGCUAACCGGUACUAAUGAACCGUGAGGCUUAACCUU
rnacentral:rRNA from 1 species